rnacentral:rRNA from 1 species
UGGUGGCGCACGGGUGCGUAACACGUAACUAACCUACCCACAACUGGGGGAUAGCCCGCCGAAAGGCGGAUUAAUACCGCAUAAGCUCUUGACUCGGCAUCGGGUUAUUAGUAAAGAUUUAUUGGUUGUGGAUGGAGUUGCGGGUCAUUAGCUAGUUGGUUGGGUAACGGCUGACCAAGGCGACGAUGACUAGGGGAGCUGAGAGGCUGGUCCCCCACACGGGCACUGAGAUACGGGCCCG